UCGUGAGGUUUGGAACUUUCGUCACAGAUUGUCAUUCUCUCUCUUAUCCAUGUUUAUCACAUGAAAUGGAAAUUUUGUGUCAAAAACGUAAGUCCAUUAUAUUGAUUACAUCGUACGAUUAUUUUAUUCUUUUUAUAUACUGAUCACAUGCUGAUUACUAUUAUUACGGAUAAAAUAUUUACGUCCUUGUCCGAUAAGCACGAAUAGAAAAGGACAAACAUCGUGUUUGUAUUACCCGCCGAAAUUGAACAAUACGGAACGCCGACUGUCAAAGUUGUCGUUAAAUUUUAACGGCUCCGAUAGUUUCCCGUAAAUUUUUCAAAGAGGAUUUUUAUCACUUUUUGAUAUUUUUGUGGGAGAUUUUCUGUGUUUACUGAGUUAUUUGUGAUUUAAUUUGUGUUUAAAAUGCCGUCCCGUUUUAGUGAAAACGAACAACGGCUCAUAUUAAAAGUUAUCCAGUAUUUCAAACUCGAAAAAAAUGCUGGAAAACCCCUUUUGCCUGUGUCGGCUGUUUACGAUAGAGCAUCGGAGGCUUUAGGAAUUUCACGCACGACUGUGCAAAGAAUCAGUUCUAGAGGAAUCGUGACAGAUGAAGAACAAAAAGCAGCAACAAGUCAUAGAAUUGCUUUGUCCCGUGGAAUUCCUGCUUAUAAGAUACAUGAACAUACAAUUAGAACACGUAUUUAUUCAAUGUAUGCUGCAGGGGAACAUAUUACAUUACAAACUUUGCAAGCAAACCUUCAAAACAUUGAUGAUGUUCAGUUGUCUCUGACUAUGUUGGGGAAAGGACUUAAAUAUUUGCAGUUUAGAUGGCAAAGUUGCAAGCAUUCUAACAGGAAGUAUUUAAUGGAGCAGCCAUAUAUUGCACAGAAGAGACUGCAAUUUUUACGACAAUAUAAAGAAAAUCAAAUCUCUGAUUGUUCUUUCAGACCAGUAUUUCUUGAUGAAACCUGGAUUUACAGUAAGGGUGGAUUUAGAAAGAGCUGGCAAGAUGGCAGUCUACAAACAGUUCGUAAAACAUCUGGAGAAGGAGUAAGGUAUAUUGUAUUGCAUGCUGGGUCAGAAGAUGGAUUUGUGGAGAAUGCUAGCUUAGUUUUCAAAUCAGGCACUAAAUCGGGUGACUACCAUGAUUCCAUGAACUCCAAAUCAGAGUUGGAGUAAGGAAUCCCUGAUUAAUUUCUUGCAAGAAAAGGGAAUCCAAUCACCACCUCUGGCAAUGAAAGAUCAGAUUUGGAAUAUUGUCAAGCAGAAUGUUGCACCUAAGAAAUACAAACUGGACGAAUUAGCCAAUGAGAAAGGACAUCGUGUGUUGAGACUUCCUCCAUAUCAUUGUCAGUACAAUCCCAUCGAAAUGGUAUGGUCAGAAUGCAAGCGCUACUAUGAUGCCAAGAUUAGUGCCAUUCAUCCUGUUACAAGUGAUGCAGUAUUAGGUCUUUGGAAAGAAGCACUUGAGAAGGUUACACCAGAGAAAUGGAAGAAUUAUAUCAGACAUACCAAUAGCAUAAUCGAUAAAGCCUGGGCCCAAGAACAACUGAUUGAUGCCUCCGAUAUUCUACCUGUAAUUAUCGACACGAAUGAUUCCGAUUCAGAUGAGGACAAUUAUUUAACUGAGGGAGAAGAAAGUGUGUAGUGUUUAGUGUCUAGUAUUAUUUUUCAUACAUAUUGUUUUAUGUUGUACAGUGUGAGUCAGUGACAGAGUAAAGAGUAAAUUUAAUUAGUAAAUUAAUUUUAAAUAUAGAGGGGACUCCAAAAAGUGAGGCAGAUAUAUAUUAUAAAUAAUGUUAUAUACCUAGAACUAAUAGUUUUCUUAAUAUUUAUUUAAAAAAAUGUGUUAUGCCAGCACCGACAUGGUAGUGGCAUUGUGUAAAAACUUUUCUAUGCUAAUCACUGGUAUGAAAGUAUUUACAUAUUGCCACUACCAUGCCAGUGCUGGCAUACCAGUUAAAUUGGCGAUAGCUACAGUAUAUAAUAAAUCAACAAUCAAUCUUUAUAUACAAAGGUUAUAGAAUUUUGGGCAGAAUCUAAAUAUAAAAUAAAAAAUUAUUGUAUUGGGUGUUACAUUAAAAAAAUAUUAUAUCUGCCACACUUUUUGGAGUCCCCUCUUAUUUAAAAUUAAUUUUAAAUUGUGUACCUGAUAGCACAGGAUCAGGUUGCAGGAUUAUUAAGCUCAUAAUGUAAUUAAAAUAUAAUUUUUAUAUAUAUUUGUGAAUAGGGUAAUACACUUUUAACGGGAUGCCAAUCAAAAAGUGGCCACAAAUAGGGGUUGCCACAGUUCGAAGUCGUUCCUACUACUUUAUCCGGGUCCGGCAACAGUGAGUCAGGCAUCUGUUGCUCCUAUAAUAAAAAAAAUUGUAUGAAUGCAAACUGAAAGUAUGUAUUAGGAAGUAUUUCAUGAAAAUAUUUUAACUUCUACAGGGUGGGUCAAAAAAGUAAGCGAAUCGGAAUGAUUUUUUUA
rnacentral:misc_RNA from 1 species